AUACGUAGGUGGCAAGCGUUGUCCGGAAUUAUUGGGCGUAAAGCGCAUGUAGGCGGUGCCUUAAGUCUGUCGUGAAACUGCGGGGCCUAACCCCGUAUGGCGAUGGAAACUGUGGCACUUGAGUGCAGGAGAGGAAAGGGGAACUCCCAGUGUAGCGGUGAAAUGCGUAGAUAUUGGGAAGAACACCGGUGGCGAAGGCGCCUUUCUGGACUGUGUCUGACGCUGAGAUGCGAAAGCCAGGGUAGCGAACGGGAUUAGAUACCCCGGUAGUCCUGGCCGUAAACGAUGGGUACUAGGUGUGGGAGGUAUCGACCCCUUCCGUGCCGGAGUUAACGCAAUAAGUACCCGGCCUGGGGAGUACGGCCGCAAGGCUUAAACUCAAAUGAAUUGACGGGG
rnacentral:rRNA from 1 species